UUUUUUAUAUUUUUAUAAAGUUGACAAAGAAUAGCAAAUGAUGGAUUAUAAUUUAAAAUUAAAUAAUUAUGAACAUGACUUAGAAUAUGUCAUUCAUAGUUGGUCCUCAUAUUCUUCCAAUUACCACCCUCGGAAUAUUAAAAAUGAUCACCCCUAUGAUCAAUCAUCUCGAUGGUCAUCAGACAGCAACUAUCCUCCACAGUACAUCAUAUUGAAACUUGUACAACCAUCCAUUGUCACAGCUAUCACAUUUGGAAAAUUUGAAAAGACACAUGUUUGCAACUUAAGAAAGUUUACGAUUACAGGAGGAGCAAGUCCUGAUCACCAAGUUCAUCUUUUAACAAGUGGUUUAAAGAACGAUAAUAAGAAAGAAACAUUUUCUUUAAAGCAUGAACUUCAAGGGAAGAAAUUUGUUUGUGAAUACAUUAAAAUUGUACCUGUUGCUUCAUGGGGUCCCAGUUUUAAUUUUAGUAUAUGGCACAUAAAGCUAUUUGGAAUUGAUGAUGCUAAAAUUGUUCAACCCUGUUUGAAGUGGUUCAACAAUUAUAGAGAACAAGAAGCCAUACGUCUUUGUUUAAAAUAUUUUCGGCAGAAGAAUUACACUGAAGCAUUUAAUGCUUUGAAAAAUGAAACAAAUGUGUUUUUGGAAAGUCCACUUCUCACAAGCUUACAUACUAGUUUGGUUAAGAAUGGAAACUUUGAGGAAGCGGAACAUAUAAUACAAAAUUCAGCUCAUUUGUUCAAUGAAUAUAUUAGUACACAAUCUUAUCAACCAAAAUGGACUGCACUCAAAUCUCUCAACAGAGAUGGAGUUGAAGUUUGUGAACAGCCUGGAAUGAGAGGCGGACAUCAAAUGUGUAUUGAUGAAGAAAAGCAACUCAUAUUUUUAAUUGGAGGUUGGGAUGGUACGAAAGAUAUUUCUGAUUUUUGGGUUUAUAAUAUCAACAGCAGUCAUUGGCAUUGUAUCUCUGAAAAUAUUGAAAUGGAUGGAGGUCCUGCUGCAAGGUCAUGUCAUAAAAUCUGUCUUGAUACAAAAAAGAGACAUCUUUAUAUAUUGGGGCGUUAUCUUGAUGCAGAAGAAAGGCUAAAUCUGGAUAUUAAGAGUGACUUCUUUAGAUAUGGGCUUGAUACAGGUCUAUGGGAAAUUGUAUCAUCUGAUACAUAUUCUGAAGGAGGGCCCAGUCUUAUUUUUGACCAUCAAAUGCAGUACGAUGGUGUGACAGAGAAAAUAUUUGUAUUUGGAGGGAGGAUUCUUACAACGAUAAUUAACGAUGAUCAAUCAUCAGAACCUCUGUUCAGUGGUCUAUUUUCUUUCUGCACAAAAACUUAUAAAUGGGAAAAAUUGAAGGAUGAUUGCUUAAACACACCCUCUAAUGAUCAAAUACUUUCCAGAAGUGGUCAUUCUAUGCUCAUUGAUCAGGAAAGAAGGUUGUUGUACAUAUUUGCUGGUCAGAGGGGCAGAAACAGAGAAAGUGUAAAUGAUUUUUUUUCAUACAAUAUUGAUACUGGUGAAAUUACGAUAUUAGUUGCGCUAGCAGAAAAUAAAUUAUCAUCGUCAAUUGGUUUCACUCAGCGCUCUAAUAUUGAUUCAAAAUUGGGUGAAAUUUAUGUUUUGUCGGGAUCAAAUCGUGAAGCAGAAAACAAAGAAGAUUGUAUUCGUAACUCGUUUUGGGUUUAUAACAUAGCCCUAAAGAAAUGGACAUGUGUUUACAAAAAUGAAAACAUUGAUAAAUUGUAUUGGAAGAAAAUGACAAAUAUUGAACCACGUCCACGAUUUGCACAUCAACUAGUUUAUGAUUCUAUAAACAAGGUUCAUUUCUUAUUUGGUGGAAACCCUGGGCAUUCUGCUUCAUUGAAACUUAGAUUAGAUGACUUUUGGAUGCUAAAGAUUUAUGGAGAUGUCAGAAAUAGAUCAAAUACAUGCGCUUUCAUACUUACAAGAAGAAGUUUCAUUAGUAAUCGAUCAUACAAACGAUUGUGAAAGAGAGAUGUUUGAGUCACUAACUUCUGUGUUAUUUUCACCAGUAUUAUCUUCAAGUCGCAGUAAUUCAGACGGCCCUUCGGAAAUAUAUGAAGCUAGGACCAAGGUGUUCGAUGAGUUGACUACAUAUUUUCCAUCUCACAUGACACAACCUUGUGGAACUAUAACGGACUUUAUCAUUGUUUAAAUCGAAAUAGGUUUUGCUAAUUGCACACACAAUUAGGGGUGUGUUGAGAGGGUAUUUAUCGACAAAAAAAAGAUAAUCGGCUUCUAAUAUACGCCAGCUUAUUAAAAAAGGUCUAAAUUCGCCGAUUGACUUCAAAAGUUAAACCCCUAUGCACCCCCUUGUUCCAGUCAUAUACAUAUUGAUUUAUCUUGGUAAAUAUUUCAUCCAAAACGACAAUGAAGCAUUGAUAAAAUUUUUCUGGAACUGGAAAAAAAAACAUUUGAAAAUUAUUUUAUAUAUAAAAACUUUUUAAAAUUUGUACAAAAUCUAUUAUAUUGUUAACAAUAAUUUU
rnacentral:misc_RNA from 1 species